UGGGAAUUUGGACAAUGGGCGAAAGCCUGAUCCAGCAAUGCCGCGUGUGUGAAGAAGGCCUUCGGGUUGUAAAGCACUUUUGUCCGGAAAGAAAUCCUUGGCUCUAAUACAGUCGGGGGAUGACGGUACCGGAAGAAUAAGCACCGGCUAACUACGUGCCAGCAGCCGCGGUAAUACGUAGGGUGCAAGCGUUAAUCGGAAUUACUGGGCGUAAAGCGUGCGCAGGCGGUUUGCUAAGACCGAUGUGAAAUCCCCGGGCUCAACCUGGGAACUGCAUUGGUGACUGGCAGGCUAGAGUAUGGCAGAGGGGGGUAGAAUUCCACGUGUAGCAGUGAAAUGCGUAGAGAUGUGGAGGAAUACCGAUGGCGAAGGCAGCCCCCUGGCAAGUACUGACGCUCAUGCACGAAAGCGUGGGGAGCAAACGGAUUAAUNCCCUGGUAGUCCACGCCCUAAAAGAUGUCAACUAGUUGUUGGGGAUUCAUUUCCUUAGUAACGUAGCUAACGCGUGAAGUUGACCGCCUGGGGAGUACGGUCGCAAGAUUAAAACUCAAAUAAUUGACGGGGUCAGCUG
rnacentral:rRNA from 1 species